rnacentral:misc_RNA from 1 species
UGGUUCUGGCAUCGAUGAAGAACGCAGCGAAAUGCGAUAAGUAAUGCGAAUUGCAGAUUUCAGUGAGUCAUCGAAUCUUUGAACGCACAUUGCGCCCGCCGGCAUUCCGGCGGGCAUGCCUGUUCGAGCGUCAUUUCAACCCUCAAGUCCUCCUCUUCUGUGUAGGCUUGGUGUUGGGGGAUCGCGGCUAUAAGCGACCCCUGAAAACUAGUGGCGGCUCCGCCCGCGGCAAUCAUUGCGUAGUAGCACAAACACUCGCACUGGGGCCCGGCGGUAGUCUUUUGCCGUAAAAUCGAUAGCAAGGUUAGUGUAAGAGAGAGGGUUCGUCCUAAUCUCUGACUGCUUAGCUUUCAAACUUUAUGAGUUGACCUCGAAUCAGGUAGGAAUACCCGCUGA